CACCAGUCAGGCUGUGCGUGACUCCUUCCUUGGACUUUUAGGCAAACUGUAUACAAACGGUGCUCAUUGUGUGUUGGCGCUCCUAGGCUGUCUGUGACUGUGGAUAUCCACUUUCCAGCUGAUGGAGGGUUGUUGCUAGCCUUGCAGUGGGGCCACCCCCAGCAAACCAUCCUUUUUGAUAGCGUCUCCGUCCAUCAUGAACACAUCGAGUUUGAGGUGCUUCUUCAACUGCAUAAUCUGUGCAGGAACUUGAUGUCCAUGAUAGGUUUCAUCCUUACGGCUGCUUUAUCUGAUGGAAAACAGGGAAGUGAAAAGAUGGGUAGUGAUAGGGAGGGUCAGUGGGUCUUCUAAACCUCAUUCAGUCACAGAUAGAAAUCUGUACGUGACCGGACGUGGCAAGCUGUCA
rnacentral:lncRNA from 1 species